CUAUCACAAUAAAUAUCUAUCAUUUUAUAUACAUAUAUAUAUAUAUACAUACCUAUAUACAUUAUAUAUAUAAAAUUUUGACUUGGGUUUGCUUGUAAACUGGCUUUCUGGGGGAAAAGGCAGCCCCAAUUUGUAGCAUUUGCUGAAUUCCGUGGUAUCCAUGGAGUUGGAUUAUGUGUGUUAUGUUUCGCAGCUGUGUGUUCAAUGACAUGUUGGUAGCCUGAAAUUGGUCAUGGUUAGCAUAUAACAUAUAUUUGCUUAAUGAAUGAAUUAAUUUUAAUAGGCUAAGACAAUUUGAAUAAAAGUAUUCCCUUCCAACUGGAAGGAAACAAACACAUUCAAUACAGCAAAUGGCACAUGACCAUAAAAUCAAGUAGAUUUUGGACUUAUGAAACACAACGGGAAGGAGACUGCUGGGAUAGAGAUUUCAAGUGGAAGAUACAAGAGUCCCUGAAGAACUGUGUUGUUAAAGCAAAGUUCUUGGACAUCCUUGAAGAUCUACAGAAGGUGAAAGAGAGAGGGGAUAUGAUGAAGACAUUGAGUUUCAAGUCAUGGGAAGAAUGA
rnacentral:lncRNA from 12 species